rnacentral:rRNA from 1 species
GCUUACGCCAUACCACCCUGAACACGCCCGAUCUCGUCCGAUCUCGGAAGCUAAGCAGGGUCGGGCCUGGUUGAUACUUGGAUGGGAGACCGCUGGGAAUACCAGGUGCUGUAAGCU